rnacentral:lncRNA from 1 species
AUCUGGUAACUAUUGUGACAGAGGGUCUACACUCUGGGCAGAGUGACAGGCUGAAGAGUUGAUGGAUCUGCUCACCUCCAUGGGGGAGGGGUCCCAGGAGGUCUGGAAUGUUGAGAAACCAGAAGAUUCUGGCUGGGAUUUCAGUUGAGAUCUCUCAACCUUGAGAAGCCUAGGAGGAGAGGUCUGGCCAAGCCUUUCUCCUGGGAUAUACCCAUCUCUUUCCUUUUCUGGCAACUGGACAUUCUCCCCACCCCCCCUCCAAUUCCCAAAUGAAGGAACAUCUGAAGAAGACAUUUAAGCAUCUGUAAAAACUUUACCUCACAGCUCCUGGUGCCCUGGUGGCCAGGGGCCAAAGACCAGGAAAUUGAACAACAGUGGACACAGUUGUUUUCCUUGGAUCUUCCAAUGAGGGGCAGGUUUCUCCAAUCCGAGUCUAUCUUCAUGGAUGUCAGUGAACCAUGAAUCACAAGAUAAUAUGCUAGUUGAUUUUGCUGAACCAUCGUUUGCUUGUUUGUGAGACAUCAGGAGACAGUUCUAGUCACUGGGGAGAGUCCAUACUCAAGAUACUUUCCUAAAAUUUUCAGCUUUUCCCUGGACCUAAUUAUCACCAGCUCAAGAUCCCACUGUUUGUUCCAUAAGGAAGUAUCCCCAUGUCUUCUAGAGAGGUCUCCAUGCAAGGAAGAAUGUAAAUGGACAAAUAAUAUGGUAUAAAUGCAGUGAACUCAAUAAAACCAGG